rnacentral:rRNA from 1 species
CCUACGGGGGGCAGCAGUGAGGAAUAUUGGUCAAUGGGCGAGAGCCUGAACCAGCCAAGUCGCGUGAAGGAUGACGGCCCUACGGGUUGUAAACUUCUUUUGUCAGGGAGCAAUUGGGUCCAUGCGUGGGCUUAGCGAGAGUACCUGAAGAAAAAGCAUCGGCUAACUCCGUGCCAGCAGCCGGGGUAAUACGAGGGAUGCGGGCGUUAUCCGGAUUUAUUGGGUUUAAAGGGUUCGUAGGGGGAAUCCUAAGUCAGCGGUAAAAAUUGGGGGCUCAACCCCGUCGUGCCGUUGAAACUGAUGUUCUUGAGUGGGCGAGAGGUAUGCGGAAUGCGUGGUGUAGCGGUGAAAUGCGUAGAUAUCACGAAGAACUCCGGUUGCGAAGGCAGCAUGCCGGCGCCCAACUGACGCUGAGGCGCGAAAGCGUGGGUAUCGAACAGGAUUAGAUACCCCAGUAGUC